rnacentral:misc_RNA from 1 species
UUUCCGUAGGUGAACCUGCGGAAGGAUCAUUAAAAAAUUGGACUCCAUUGGUGAGUUCAUUAAUAAUCCCUACCCUUUGUGAAUUUGUUUGUUUGAAUAAUUUUUUUUCCAAAAAAAAUUAUUGAAUGUCUUUCCUUGUUUUGGUGGAGCUUGUAAAGUGAAACCAGGCAGGGGAAUGGCAAACAAUAAUUAUUUUUGAAAAAGACCUUUUUUUAAAAUUAAACUUUUUGUAUUCAUUUGUCUAAAAUUAAUUUUUAUAAUAUAAAAACAACUUUUGACAAUGGAUCUCUUGGUUCUCGCAACGAUGAAGAACGCAGCAAAAUGCGAUAAGUAGUGUGAAUUGCAGAAUACGUGAAUCAUCGAAUCUUCGAACGCAUAUUGCACUUUUUUAGUUUACUAAAAAAGUAUGUCUGUUUGAGUAUCAGUAAAAUAUUCUCAUAAAAAACAUUGUUUUUUUUAUGGUUAUGAGUGUUUUACAACGAUAACAAGUUGUUUCACUUUAAAUUCUUUGUUAUCAAAAAAAUCAUUAAAAGCUAAUUUUAAAGAUUUUUUAAAAUUGGAUAAAAUUUUCCCGUAAAAAGGAAUAACCUAAACAAUUUUAAAAAAUUAAAAUUGGUUUGAUUUUUUUUGAAACCCAAAGGAAAAAAAAACGAAAUUAACUUGAUCUCAAAUCAGAUAAGAGUACCCGCUGAACUUAAGCAUAUCAAUAAGCGGAGGAAAAGAAACUAACUAGGAUUCCCUCAGUAACGGCGAGUGAAGCGGGAAGAGCUCAAAUUUGAAAUCUUCAAGGUUUUACCUUGACGAAUUGUAGUUUAAAGAAGUGUUUUCUGUUGGAGUUUUGGUAAAAGUUCUUUGGAAAAGGACAUCAUAGAGGGUGGGAAUCCCGUAUUUGACCAUUAUCUCCAGCUUUGUGAUACACUUUCAAAGAGUCGGAUUGUUUGGGAAUGCAGUCCAAAAUGGGUGGUAAAUUUCAUCUAAAGCUAAAUACUGGCGAGAGACCGAUAGCGAACAAGUACCGUGAGGGAAAGAUGAAAAGAACUUUGAAAAGAGAGUUAAACAGUACGCGAAAUUGUCAAAAGGGAAGCGUUUGACACCAGUGUUGUUUUCUCGAAAAUCAAUUAAAAAAGGCCGGAUUUUGUGUUGUAUUGACUUUAUCAGCUUUCUGCACUCUUUUCUUGUCUUUUUUAAUGCACUUUUCGUUUAACAAGUCAACAUCAAUUUCUUUUGUUGUAAAAGGGUCAUUGGAAGGUGGCUUUCUUUUCGGAGAAAGUGUUUAUAGCCUUUGGCCUCUGCAAUCGGAGAGAUUGAGGUCUGCAGCGUAGAUCCUUCGGGGUUAGAUACAUUUGUGCUAAGUUAUAGCCUUUCAUAGACAACUUGUUGACUAUGAUCAGUCAUGUAGCUUACUCGCUUAUGCUAUUUUACCUACGCUUAGGAUGUUGA